UAUGGUGUAAUAUAGUGGUAGAAUAUGUGUUUUGAGGGCACAAGGCUCUGGGUUUGAUCCCUAGCACUUCAA
rnacentral:tRNA from 1 species